CGUCAAAUCAUCAUGCCCCUUAUGACCUGGGCUACACACGUACUACAAUGGCCGGUACAACGGGAAGCGAAGUGGUGACAUGGAGCGAAUCCUAAAAAGCCGGUCUCAGUUCGGAUUGCAGGCUGCAACUCGCCUGCAUGAAGUCGGAAUUGCUAGUAAUCGCGGAUCAGCAUGCCGCGGUGAAUACGUUCCCGGGUCUU
rnacentral:rRNA from 1 species